rnacentral:lncRNA from 1 species
UGUAUUUUUUAUAGAGAUGGGGUUUUGCCAUGUUGCCCAAGCUGGUCGAGAACUCCUGAGCUCAAGUGAUUCAUCCACCUCGGCCUCCCAAAGUGCUGGGAUUACAGGCAUGAGCCACCAUGCCUGGCCUAGAUUAGCCAAGAAUAUGCUUGUUCUCAUUGCCAAGGCCUGGAGAUAGGCCUGCGGCCUGAAAGGACCUCGACAGACAGCCUCGCGGUGACCCUUUGAUGCUCUCUGGAUAUACCAGGAAAACUGCACGAUGUGAGGCACACAGUGAGAAAGCCAAUCUGUGUAUUUAUUUAUUUAUUUUGAGGUGGAGUUUUGCUCUUGUUGCCCAAGCUGGAGUGCAGUGGCGUGAUCUCAGGUCACUGCAACUCUGCCUCCCAGGUUCAAGUGAUUCUCCUGCUUCAGCCUCCUGAGUAGCUAGGAUUACAGGUGCACCACCACACCUGGCUAAUUUUUGUAUUUUUAGUAGAGAUGAGGUUUCUCCAUGUUGUCCAGGCUGGUCUCGAACUCCUGAGCUCAGGUGAUCCACCUGCCUUGACCUCCCAAAGUGCUGGGAUUAUAGGUGUGAGCCACUGUGCCUGGCCCAUUCUGUGUAUGUAACUAGUGGUAGAUACUCAGUAAGGGCAAGUUUUCCACGAAAGAAAAAGUGGAGGAUGCAGCAGUUGAUAGCAUGUUAGAGAAUGAGUCUCCCUGUGUGUGUGGCCUUCCUGGUAAGGGGAAAUUAGGUUCUGAGAAGGAAGUUAAGAUUGUGUGUGAAAGGAGGAAGGUGCUAUCUCAAGCUUUGUCCUUAAUGAUCAUUAAGGAGGAGAAAUGGAGUGUAGUGUAAGGAGACUGAUAGCAGGGAAAUGAAACUCCAGCCAUUUGAAACCAGUCAAUAGAGUCAAAUGUUUUCUGUCUGCUGUUCACCUUCUUGAGCCACUGUGCAGAUGCAGGCAGCAAAGAAAUGACAAACAAUUACCUCCCUGGGCAGGUGAACCUAUUUCAAAACCCAUGGGCAGGAGUUUUAACCUGGAUUCCAUGAGUAAACUCCAGGAAUUUGUGAAAUCCUGAAACCCACAUAUCAUACAUGUUUACGAUGAUCCCUUAGGUGUAUUUAUUUCUGAGAAAAUUAGUCAUAACUUUUUAUUGGAUUUUCAAAGGGGUCUGUGAGUUUUAAAAGGGAAGAUACUAUCACACAUGUUUAUGGUGAUCCCUUAUAUGUAUUUAUUUCUGGGAAAAUUAGUCAUAACUUUUUCUUGGAUUUUCAAAGGGGUCUGUGAGUUUUAAAAGGGAAGAUACUCUGUUGGAUAGCUUUGUCCAGUGCUAUACUUUUUUUUUUUUUUGGAGAUAGGGUCUUGCUCUGUUGCCCAGGCUGGAGUACAGUGGUGUGAUCAUGGCUUACUGCAGCCUUGACCUCCUGGCCUCAAGUGAUCCUCCCACUGUGGCCUCCUGAGUAGCUGCAACUACAGACAUGUGUCACUAUACCUGGGUAUUUAUUACUAUUAUUAUUUUUGUAGGGAUGGGAUCUCACUAUGUUGUCCAGCCUGGUCUUGAACUCUUGGGCUCAAGUGAUCAUCCUGCCUUGGCCUCCUGAAGCGCUGGGAUUGCAGGCAUGAUCCACCAUGCCCUGCCCAACGGUACACUUUUCAGGAGAAAACUCUUCCACUUCUGUCUUAGGUAGCAGCAAUCAAGAUGAAUCCUAGAUCCACCAAGGGGACAAAAUUGUUACUAAAAAAACUUUCUAUAGCGUAGUAAAUUUGUAGCCUAGGGAAGGCUUCAACCUGUUAGGCUGAAAGCAGCUAUGACUUUCAGUAAAUCUGAAAAGAGCAUUCCUGUUGCAGAAUCAAUGAGACUCUGUAGGCUUUGGCUGAUAGACAAAUGACUCACUGUCUUCAAAACUACUAUGGAAAAGGCUAUGCUUUGCAUCUGUCUAGGGUGUAAAUUUGCUUUUGAUUGACAAUGUGAUAGCAAACAAUUUAAAGGGAAGAAACAGAGAGAAAAUGUCAUCUUUGUGGGCAGAUGCUUUUAUUAGGAGCUGAAAGUGUGAUGGAAGUACUUUUGAAAAUGUGUUAUUUCUCCCUGUUCUUUUUUGCCACUGUAAGCAGAGAAAAAAAGUUUUUAUUCUUACCCUUGUCUAAGAAAAGUCAGCAGAUUCAAAAUUCACUGUAAGCACAAAAGGUUUGUGAAUCUGCAUUUUAUGGUGGGUACAUACUGGCUUGGUAAUAAAUGGUUUCAGGGCGCUUGUAACUUCAAUUAUUGUUGCAAUUUAGAAUGAUUGAGCAACUAUUUUUGUGAAAUACUGUUUGGUGAAAACUCAAGUGUUUACUGGGAAUUCUUUAUAAAACAUGGGGUGCUUAUGAUCUUAGGGCUUUGGGCUAAAAAAUGUUGAUUUAUUGGGUAGAAUGAAUUGUUCUAGCCUGACAUCAGAAGUACCAAGUUGCCUUGUGGCUCCUUAAAUUCAGUUUGUGUGUUUGGUAUUUGCAGAUGAUACGUUAAUUUUAAAAAUCUUUAGGGAGUCUUUAAAUAAAUACUGCCAUGUAAGCCUGAAAAAAGUCCAUGCCUCUUCUUCCAGGGAGCUGCCCAGACACUGGGCAAAUCAGAUUUCAUAAAUAUAGCUUGUUGUUAUCCUUUACCUAUCGUGGAAAGAUAAGACAGGAAGUCAGCACACCUAAUUCAAUAACAGAUAAGAAAAGCACACUUUUUCUUUUCUGAGAGCUGUGUAACCUGAGGGUCAAUUUGAAUGUUUAGAGAAUUUUUCUUUUUGAAUUUUGUGGGCAUUUUAAAUAUAUAUAUUUAUAUAUAUUAAUAUAUGUAUUUAAAUAUAUAUAUUAAUAUAUAUUUAAAUAUAUGUUUUAUAUAUAUAAAACAAUGAGUUUAUAUUAAAUGUGACCUGCUUAAAAUAGAAAAAAGAGAGCCAGUUCCAUUAAUCUGAGUCAGUAGAAGUUGAAAAUCCUUUAUACCACUCUUUUCUUUUUUAAUUUCCUCAGCUCACGUUCUCAGAUGGCCCUUCUCACUGCAGAGGGGCUCUGAUGUACCAAUGCGAACGUUUCAAAUGUACACUGCAGGUUCUGUCUGCGGAGACCUUUUGGGCUGUUCAUCCGUCGUAUUAUCUGAUAAGAAAGAACUUACAUUGAGAAGCCAACUGUCACUCAAACUCCCUCCAUUCCAGUGAGCCUUGAGGGUGCCCUAUCAGCACAGAUCUGCCAGGCUGCCCUCAUGGCGCUGUCUAAAAUAGCACUGCCUGCCUUGGCUCCCUGGAUCAAUGAAUCCGCAGUGAGGCUUUACUGUGCUUUGCUACUCCAUCGCCACUUGUCUUUUGCUGAUCUUCAGGCAUCAAGAUUUUGUCACCUUCUUAUUCUCAAGCGCCUGCAUCAUCUUGUCAUUCUUCGCUUCACUUUAGCUACUUAUUCCUUGCAGAACCCAGAGAGCGUUCCAGAAAGUCGAAAGUUUAGAAAUGUCUUCACAAAGCUGAACACUCUGACUUCCAAGGACAUAACCUUCCUACUUUUCUGUAUUCAUUUCUCUGAGAACUUU